GAUAGACUUACUCUCAUUCUUUGUAUCUCUUGUUCCACCCAUUCAUUUUGCUCCUCCUUAGGAACCCUUUGAACUCCUGCUGGACGGGCAUCUUGGCGUCCAAUGUGAACCUGAGGCACGGGGAUCGGAUUGAACGUCGUUCUUUGUGGGCACCCCCUACAUAGGAUCUCAUGUUUCCACAGGAGAAAGGAAAGAAGAUCCUGCAUUGAGAUCUCCACAGAGCCACCUGUCUGUGAGUCUGAUCCACUGAGGAAAAUGAUGCAGCUUGAUGGCUACUGGAACACCUGGUGUGACAAGUGGAUGAGGAGUUUUCUCCUGACAAUGAUAAUGAUGUCAAUGAAGACCCUUCCAGUCAAGAUAACUGCUCAUGUGCUGCCCUCAAGGAAGAAUGUUGUUUUUACAUGGACUGUUCUGGGGUUGUGAAAGACUGCAUGGCUAAAGUUAGAGAGGGCUUAGAAAGGAGAAAAAGAAAGAAAGAACAAGAGGAAAGUUGGUUUCAUAAUUGGUUUUCAACCUCUCCCUGGCUCACCAUUCUCCUCCCUUCAAUCUUGGGACCCAUGGUGGGCUUCCUUCUUCUCAUAUCUUUCGGCCCAUGGGGCAUCAAAAGACUUACUAGCUUUGUAAAACAGCAAAUUGACUCCCUGGCAUCUAAACCCAUCUGAGUUCAUUAUCACAGACUUGAUUUGGCUGACCAAGGCCUAGCUGAGCCCAAGGAAGCCUGGUAACAGUCCAUCACAUGGCUCUUAAUUUUUUGCAUUUGGCUCUCAUGAGAACAGCAUGAAACUCAGAUAAAUGCUUGCCUGAUGGGGCAUGGGCAGCACAUGGGGGUAGGAUGAGGUACCGCAGGGAAAGGACCCAAUUGUCCACUUCUGAGCCCCCGAGAAGCAAAUCUGAUUGCAUAGAGGUUGGUGUCUGAUUAUCCCUAACCACAACCUGCUGGGGAUGCCCUCAGGUGUUGAUGGGGUCUUCCUCUCCUCCCCAAAAAGACACCCAAAAAGGCUGUAAAACACCUUGGGAAGAUCAGGUCUCUACUUCCCCACUCUGGUUAAUGCCCACUGUCUUCAAAAGACCUCAUGUUCAUAACCUACCUGCUAGCCUCUUAAAUUGUUUGAGAAGGGAGGAGAUGAUGGGAGCCAAAGCCAGCUAGUGGAAAGUUACAUAUAGCUGCAACAAGGUCAUGGGUGAGAGAUUUAUGUUUCCAGAACUUAUGAGACUAGAUAGGCUAGUCAUUUUGAGAUAUAUUAGCUGACAUUCUUGUAGUAUCUCUUUUAGUAAACAUUCUUGUGGUAUUCUGCAUCAUCAAACACUCUGUUAUCUUUCGUAUUGUAAACUACUUGCUGACACAUUUUCCCUUUCUGCCUUCUCCCUAUAAAGUUGUGUGAAAAUUUUCAAAUAAACGAGAGCUAGAUCAGGUGAUGAUAGACUUGCUCUCAUUCUUUGUGUCUCUUGUUCCACCCACUCAUUUCGCCCCUCCUUAGGAACCUGUUGAACUCCUGCUGGACGGGGCAUUCUGUACAGCAAAGGGCACCAUCGUUGGAGCACAGCUGCAGCCUACAAAAUAGGAAAAGAUCUAUGCAUCUGAUAGAGGCUACAGCUCUUGGUUGUCUACAGCUCUUCAUCUAUGGAUGGAACUCUGGGCAAUUCCCCCUGUCCGUGUUGUCCUGGUGAGUGCUGCUAUAAUUAUGCAGGUCUUGUUUAGGCAACCACCUUGUCCUGACUUCAUGGAUAGCACCUCCCUGUCAUGUCCAAAAUACACUUUCUCACACUGAAGGCAUCUUGAUCCUCUGGGACAUACCAUUUAUCCACCUUGACUUCUGGAGUAUCCUCUGUGCAUUAGGUAGGAGUCGUUUGGCAGAUGUACCAAUCGGGUUGGGUGCCCUACCGCCACUAAUUAUCUGCCUUUUGACCAGUUAUGGAUCUCUGUAUUAGUGCUCCUCUCUGCACAAAGAAGCUUCCUCAAUGAGGAGUGAGGGUCACACUUAUCUGUGGAUGUAAGGGUAAGGAUGUAAGGUAAGUAUUCAGAAUGCGAUUGGAAAUUAGAUUGGUUUGGGAAUCCGACAGUUGUAGGCUCUCCUGUAGGAUCUAUGACCUCUCCAGCCACAGGUAGUUGGCUAAGUUUAGAAUGCCAAGCAUGAGUUCAUUCCUAUUUCACUCCUAUUGAGCACAUCUUAAAUCUAAGUAAAUAGCUGUUGGUUACUCCACACACACACACACACACACACACACACACACACACACACAUGAGAUGUGAGCGAUAGUACAGAUGACACUAUUGAAGGUAUCUUGCCAGGCUAGCCAUUUGUAGGCUUUAUGGAUGGGCAGGACUACUGAUGGCAAAGCUCCUUCUGAUACUAUGAAAGCUAGUCCUCAAGAAGGAAGCUCUAGGUAAGUUCUAGCUUGACUCCCACAAGUCCUUGCCCAAAGCAUGUGGUAUCUUCAGCAAUAAGGUCUUACCUUUAAAUUCUAGGAGGCAACCAAAGGCAGCGUCAAUAGGCUGUAUUGUUUCGAGAGUCUCUUGGACUCUGUCUUAGUUAGGGUUCUAUUGCUGCGAUGAAACACUAAGACCAAAAAGCAAGUUGGAGAGGAAAGGGUUUGUUUGGGUUACACUUCCAGAUCAUAGUCCAUCUUUAGAGGAAGUCAGGAUAGGAACUCCAACAGGGGUGGAACCUGGAGGCAGGAGCUGAUGCGGAGGUCAUGAAAGGUUGCUGCUUACGGGCUUGCUGACCCUUGCUUUCUCAGCCUGCUUUCUUUUUUAUUUUAAUUUUUAUUAAUUACACUUUAUUCACUUUGUAUCCCCCCAUAAACCCCUCUCUCUAACCCUCCUAAUCCCACAUUUCCUCCCCCUUCUCCAUGCAUGCCCCUCCCCAAGUCCAAUGAUAGAGGAGGUCUUCCUCUCCUUCCUUCUGAUCUUAGUCUAUCAAAUCUCAUUAGGAGUGGCUGCAUUGCCAUCUUCUGUGGCCUGGUAAGGCUGCUCUCUCCUCAGGGGGAAAAGAUCAAAGAGCAGGCCAAUCAGUUCAUGUCAGAGGCAGUCCCUCUUCCCAUUACUAUGGAACCCUCUUGGACACUGAACUGCCAUGGGCUACAUCUGUGCAGGGGUUCUAGGUUAUCUCCAUGCAUGGUACUUGGUUGGAGUAUGAGUCUCUGGAAAGACCCCUGUGUUCAAAUUUUUUGGUUCUGUUGCUCUCCUUGUGGAGCUCCUGUAGCAGCUUUAUUUGUAAUAGCCAGAAGCUGGAAACAACCCAGAUGCCCCUCAACUGAAGAAUGGUUACAGAAAUUGUGGUACAUCUACACAAUGGAAUACUACUCAGCAAUGAAAAACAAGGAAAUCAUGAAAUUUGCAGGGGGUCACAGCUAAGGUAUUUCCUUAAGUCCCAGAAGAAACUUUGAGCAUUGGACUUUUAAACAGUGUUGAGACUGUGAUAGACUAUGGGGACUUUUGAAGUUGGACUAAUUAUGUGUUUUUGUUUUUUUUUUUUAAUUAUGAUAUGGCUACAAGCCUGUGGGGGAUAAAGAGUGGAAUGUGGAGUUUAUUUCCAUUUAUAAGAGUUGCCGUGUUCCUGAUGCUUCUUCACAGCAAUGGAACAUUGACUAAGACAAAGAACAUUCCAAUUCUUACACCUACAUUUAUUAAGGCAGCACUCCCUUCCUCCAGAACAUUUUUCCUUCACAUUCUCAAGGAAUAUUCAAAAUUAACUUUCUUUUUUUUUUCCUCCAUUGUUAUUUAACAUUUCUACAUAGAAUAAAAGUCAGUAUUCUUACAGCAGGUAGAAAGAAGAUGUCCGAAGUGCAGCCAUGUGUGCUGGCUUUUUUUUUUUUUUUGGUCAGCUUGACCCAAAGCAGAAUUGUUUGGGAAAGGAGGUCCUCAGCUGAGAAGAUCCCCCACCAGAUUAGCCAGCGGGCAAGACUCUGGAGAUUUUCUUGAUUGAUGAUUGAUGUGAGAGAGCCCAGCUCACUGUGGACAGUGAAAGCCCUACACUUUUGGUCCCAAAUGCUGUGAGAAUGCCUGCUGAGCAAGCCAGUAAACAGUGUUCCUGUGUGACCUCCAAUUCAGUUUCUGCCUCUGAGUUCCUGAUGUGAAUUCCUCUCCUGACUCUCCUUCACGAUGUACUAUGAUUGGGACAUGGAAGCUGAAAUAAACUUUCCUCCCCAA